rnacentral:rRNA from 1 species
UACGUAGGCAGCGAGCGUUGUCCGGAUUUAUUGGGCGUAAAGAGCGUGUAGGCGGCCACACAGGUCAGCUGUGAAAACUCGAGGCUCAACCUCGAGACGUCGGUUGAAACCGUAUGGCUAGAGUCCGGAAGAGGAGAGUGGAAUUCCCGGUGUAGCGGUGAAAUGCGCAGAUAUCGGGAAGAACACCCGUGGCGAAGGCGGCUCUCUGGGACGGUACUGACGCUGAGACGCGAAAGCGUGGGGAGCGAACAGG